AGCAGCCGCGGUAAUUCCAGCUCCAAUAGCGUAUAUUAAAGUUGUUGCAGUUAAAAAGCUCGUAGUUGAAUUUCGGGGUCAGUAGGUUGGUCAUGCCACUGGUAUGUACUGGCCUCACUGAUUCCUCCUUCCUGAUGAGCCGUAAUGCCAUUAAUUUGGUGUUGCGAGGAAUCUGGACUGUUACUUUGAAAAAAUUAGAGUGUUUAAAGCAGGCUAACGCUUGAAUACAUUAGCAUGGAAUAAUGAAAUAGGACGUUCGAUCUUAUUUUGUUGGUUUCUAAGAUUGACGUAAUGAUUAAUAGGGAUAGUUGGGGGCAUUAGUAUUCAAUUGUCAGAGGUGAAAUUCUUGGAUUUAUUGAAGACUAACUACUGCGAAAGCAUUUGCCAAGGAUGUUUUCAUUAAUCAAGAACGAAAGUUAGGGGAUCGAAGACGAUCAGAUACCGUCGUAGUCUUAACCAUAAACUAUGCCGACUAGAGAUCGGAUGAUGUUAAUUUUUAAUGACU
rnacentral:rRNA from 1 species